AACGAACGCUGGCGGCAGGCUUAACACAUGCAAGUCGAGCGCCCCGCAAGGGGAGCGGCAGACGGGUGAGUAACGCGUGGGAAUCUACCCUUUUCUACGGAAUAACGCAGGGAAACUUGUGCUAAUACCGUAUAAGCCCUUCGGGGGAAAGAUUUAUCGGGAAAGGAUGAGCCCGCGUUGGAUUAGCUAGUUGGUGGGGUAAAGGCCUACCAAGGCGACGAUCCAUAGCUGGUCUGAGAGGAUGAUCAGCCACAUUGGGACUGAGACACGGCCCAAACUCCUACGGGAGGCAGCAGUGGGGAAUAUUGGACAAUGGGCGCAGGCCUGAUCCAGCCAUGCCGCGUGAGUGAUAGAGGCCCUAGGGUUGUAAAGCUCUUUCACCGGUGAAGACAAUGAUGGUAACCGGAGAAGAAGCCCCGGCUAACUUCGUGCCAGCCGCCGCGGUAUUAC
rnacentral:rRNA from 1 species